rnacentral:lncRNA from 1 species
UUUAAUCACCUCUUCACUUUGUAGGUUGGGAAGGGAUUCUCUCCCCACAACACCGACACUGGGCACAUGAGAUGAACAGCAGUUUCUUAGUCACAUGUUCUCCUGCCCUGGGGAGAAAGACACUGUACACCAUACAAAAUUAUGGGAGGGGUUGUGGCUCAGUGCUAAAGUGCUCACCUAGCGUGGAUGAGGCACUGGAUUCGAUCCUCAGUACCACAUAAAAAUGAAUAAAUAAAAUAAAGGUAUCGUGUCCAAAUACAACUAAAAAAUAUUUAACAACAACAACAACAACAAAAAAAAACUCAUGGGAGUUGUUCACAACAGAAUGAAGAACCAAGAGCUGUGGGAGGCAAUCUUUGUGAUAAUGAGUACUUUUUGGUUCCUGAAUCGGAUGUAAUUGCUUACUUUAAUGAUUCCUUAGACUGCCAGGGCAGUGAAACCCACUACAUAGGGAUGAGUAGGACAGUGCCUGGGUGCCAUGAAAAUGAGAGUUGUUUGGCUUCACGAUCUUAUUAAUAGGAGCAGAGUGGGGAGGGAAAUUUGUAGUGAGGCCAUUGAAAGUUUUUCUAGUUUUACCAGAUAUUGGGUCAGCACAUAAUAUUGGUCUUAAUUGUAGACCUUAUACCACAUGUAUAUAGCUUGCAUUCAAUGAAAGUUAACAUUUUUAGUAAAUAUUACAAAAAUAGUUGUACAUUUGGCAUUUAAAAGUCAGGUUUAUCUGGGCAUGGUGGCAUACACCUGUAGUCCCAGGUACUUAGGAGGCUGAGGCAGGAGGAUCAGGAGUAUCACAAGUUCAAAGCCAGCCUAGGCAAUCUAGCAAUACCCUGGUCAAAAAGAGC